rnacentral:rRNA from 1 species
UGGGAACUGCAUCUGAUACUGGCAAGCUUGAGUCUCGUAGAGGGGGGUAGAAUUCCAGGUGUAGCGGUGAAAUGCGUAGAGAUCUGGAGGAAUACCGGUGGCGAAGGCGGCCCCCUGGACGAAGACUGACGCUCAGGUGCGAAAGCGUGGGGAGCAAACAGGAUUAGAUACCCUGGUAGUCCACGCCGUAAACGAUGUCGACUUGGAGGUUGUGCCCUUGAGGCGUGGCUUCCGGAGCUAACGCGUUAAGUCGACCGCCUGGGGAGUACGGCCGCAAGGUUAAAACUCAAAUGAAUUGACGGGGGCCCGCACAAGCGGUGGAGCAUGUGGUUUAAUUCGAUGCAACGCGAAGAACCUUACCUGGUCUUGACAUCCACGGAAGUUUUCAGAGAUGAGAAUGUGCCUUCGGGAACCGUGAGACAGGUGCUGCAUGGCUGUCGUCAGCUCGUGUUGUGAAAUGUUGGGUUAAGUCCCGCAACGAGCGCAACCCUUAUCCUUUGUUGCCAGCGGUCCGGCCGGGAACUCAAAGGAGACUGCCAGUGAUAAACUGGAGGAAGGUGGGGAUGACGUCAAGUCAUCAUGGCCCUUACGACCAGGGCUACACACGUGCUACAAUGGCGCAUACAAAGAGAAGCGACCUCGCGAGAGCAAGCGGACCUCAUAAAGUGCGUCGUAGUCCGGAUUGGAGUCUGCAACUCGACUCCAUGAAGUCGGAAUCGCUAGUAAUCGUGGAUCAGAAUGCCACGGUGAAUACGUUCCCGGGCCUUGUACACACCGCCCGUCACACCAUGGGAGUGGGUUGCAAAAGAAGUAGGUAGCUUAACCUUCGGGAGGGCGCUUACCACUUUGUGAUUCAUGACUGGGGUGAAGUCGUAACAAGGUAACCGUAGGGGAACCUGCGGUUGGAUCACCUCCUUACCUUAAAGAAGC